rnacentral:rRNA from 1 species
GUGGGGAAUAUUGGACAAUGGGCGAAAGCCUGAUCCAGCCAUGCCGCGUGUGUGAAGAAGGUCUUCGGAUUGUAAAGCACUUUAAGUUGGGAGGAAGGGCAGUAAGUUAAUACCUUGCUGUUUUGACGUUACCGACAGAAUAAGCACCGGCUAACUUCGUGCCAGCAGCCGCGGUAAUACGAAGGGUGCAAGCGUUAAUCGGAAUUACUGGGCGUAAAGCGCGCGCAGGUGGUUUUGUAAGUUGGAGGUGAAAUCCCCGGGCUCAACCUGGGAACUGCCUCCAAAACUGCAUGACUAGAGUACGGUAGAGGGUAGUGGAAUUUCCUGUGUAGCGGUGAAAUGCGUAGAUAUAGGAAGGAACACCAGUGGCGAAGGCGACUACCUGGACUGAUACUGACACUGAGGUGCGAAAGCGUGGGGAGCAAACAGGAUUAGAAACCCCGGUAGUCC